rnacentral:rRNA from 1 species
UACGGAGGGUGCGAGCGUUAAUCGGAAUUACUGGGCGUAAAGCGCAUGUAGGCGGUGGGCUAAGUCCGCUGUGAAAGCCCCGGGCUCAACCUGGGAACGGCAUCGGAUACUGGUCGACUGGAGUGUGGUAGAGGGUAGUGGAAUUUCCGGUGUAGCAGUGAAAUGCGUAGAGAUCGGAAGGAACACCAGUGGCGAAGGCGGCUAUCUGGACCAACACUGACGCUGAGAUGCGAAAGCGUGGGGAG